UACGUAGGGACCAAGCGUUGUUCGGAUUUACUGGGCGUAAAGGGCGCGUAGGCGGCGCGGUAAGUCACUUGUGAAAUCUCUGAGCUUAACUCAGAACGGCCAAGUGAUACUGCAGUGCUAGAGUGUGGAAGGGGCAAUCGGAAUUCUUGGUGUAGCGGUGAAAUGCGUAGAUAUCAAGAGGAACACCUGAGGUGAAGACGGGUUGCUGGGCCAACACUGACGCUGAGGCGCGAAAGCUAGGGGAGCGAACAGG
rnacentral:rRNA from 1 species